CUCCGGGCCCAACCCGGAAAGGGCGUCAGAAACUGCAUUGCUCGAGGACUGGAGAUGGAAAUCCGAAUGCAGGGAGUAGCGGUGAAAUGCGUUGAUAUCCUGCAAGAACACCGGAGCCGAAGGCGGAUUCCUGGUACGUAUUUGACGCUGAGGCGCGAAAGUCGGGGGAGCAAACAGGAUUAGAUACCCUGGUCUCCCGACCUUCCACGGUGCACACACGGGGUGGGGGGAUUUCAACCCCCCCGUCCCUUAGCUAACGCGUUAAGUGUGCCGCCUGGGGAGUACGGCCGCAAGGCUAAAACUCAAAGAAAUUGACGGGGGCCCGCACAAGCAGAGGAGCAUGUGGCUUAAUUCGAUGCAACGCGAAGAACCUUACCUGGGUUUGACAUGCAGCUGCGCGUCCCAUGAAAGUGGGAUUCCUUCGAGGGUGCUGCACAGGUGCUGCAUGGCUGUCGUCAGUUCGUGCCGUGAGGUGUUUGGUUAAGUCCACCAACGAACGCAACCCCUUUGACCAGUUGCCAGCGGGCAAUGCCGGGGACUCUGGUCACACUGCUGUUUCACGACAGAGGAAGGUGGGGAUGACGUCAAGUCAGUAUGGCCCUUACGCCCAGGGCUGCACACGUGCUACAAUGGCCGGUACAGAGGGAUGCCAAGCCGCGAGGCGGAGCGAACCCCCCAGAGCCGGCCCCAGUUCAGAUCGGGGUCUGCAACCCGACCCCGUGAAGUCGGAUUUGCUAGUAACGGCGCAUCAGCUACGGCGCCGGGAAUGCGUUAGGGGGCCUUGCACUCACCGCCCGUCA
rnacentral:rRNA from 1 species